UGGGGAAUCUUGCGCAAUGCGCGAAAGCGUGACGCAGCAACGCCGCGUGAGGGAAGACGGCCUUCGGGUUGUAAACCUCUUUCAGUUGGGACGAAGCCUCGACGGUUAAUACCCGUCUGGGGUGACGGUACCUUCAGAAGAAGCCCCGGCUAACUACGUGCCAGCAGCCGCGGUAAUACGUAGGGGGCAAGCGUUGUCCGGAAUCAUUGGGCGUAAAGCGCGUGUAGGCGGCUUGGUAAGUCCGCUCUGAAAGCCCGGGGCUCAACCCCGGGAGGCGGGUGGAUACUGUCAAGCUCGAGUCCGGAAGAGGCGAGUGGAAUUCCUGGUGUAGCGGUGAAAUGCGCAGAUAUCAGGAGGAACACCAAUGGCGAAGGCAGCUCGCUGGGACGUGACUGACGCUGAGACGCGAAAGCGUGGGGAGCAAACA
rnacentral:rRNA from 1 species